GACGAACGCUGGCGGCGUGCCUAAUACAUGCAAGUCGAACGCUUCUUUCCUCCCGAGUGCUUGCACUCAAUUGGAAAGAGGGGUGGCGGACGGGUGAGUAACACGUGGGUAACCUACCCAUCAGAGGGGGAUAACACUUGGAAACAGGUGCUAAUACCGCAUAACAGUUUAUGCCGCAUGGCAUAAGAGUGAAGGGCGCUUUCGGGUGUCGCUGAUGGAUGGACCCAGGGUGCGUUAGCUAGUUGGUGAGGUAACGGUCCACCAAGGCCACGAUGCAUAGCCGACCUGAGAGGGUGAUCGGCCACACUGGGACUGAGACACGGCCCAGACUCCUACGGGAGGCAGCAGUAGGGAAUCUUCGGCAAUGGACGAAAGUCUGACCGAGCAACGCCGCGUGAGUGAAGAAGGUUUUCGGAUCGUAAAACUCUGUUGUUAGAGAAGAACAAGGACGUUAGUAACUGAACGUCCCCUGACGGUAUCUAACCAGAAAGCCACGGCUAACUACGUG
rnacentral:rRNA from 1 species